AUUGAACGCUAGCGGGAUGCUUUACACAUGCAAGUCGAACGAGUGGCGGACGGGUGAGUAAUAUAACGGAACGUGCAAAGUAGCGGGGGAUAACUACUCGAAAGAGUGGCUAAUACCGCAUAAUAUUGGAGCGGCCGAGAUCGGAUUAGAUAGUUGGUGGGGUAAAGGCCCACCAAGGCAACGAUCCGUAGCUGGUUUGAGAGGACGACCAGCCACACUGGGACUGAGUCACCGCCCAGGCUCCUACGGGAGGCAGCAGUGGCGAAUUUUGGACAAUGGGGGAAACCCUGAUCCAGCCAUCCCGCGUGUAUGAGAAGGCCUUCGGGUUUUAAAGUACUUUUGGCAGAUAAGCGUUCUCUGCAGAAUAAGCACCGGCUAACUACGUGCCAGCAGCCGCGGUAAUAC
rnacentral:rRNA from 1 species